rnacentral:lncRNA from 1 species
GUCAGCAUGUACUCAGGACUGCCUGUGACCCAGAAAAGGCUUUCUCAGGCCUAUUCCCACCCGCACCAGCCUGGAGAGAGCUCUGUCAGGCUGAGGUGGAAUUUUCCGGAGCCCCGGGGGCUGUGCAGGUGCGGGAGGGAGAGUCUGUCAGGCUGAGGUGGAAUUUUCCAGAGCCCUGGGAGGAGGAUUCCCAGCAUCAGGUGAGCGGUGACUUCUGACGCACUGUGGAAGCUACAGGCAGGGCUGAGUCGGCGGCAAGGAGCAGGACCUCCUGUUAGAAAGUCCCAGAAAGAAACAAACCCUCGGGGACCACCCAGAAGGCCAGGAUCAUCCGAGGGGCCGCCCCGUGGGGUCUCCAUGGCUGCACGUGCAUCCUGAGGCCCAAGUCCUCCUCACAGUGGCUUCACUGGGUGCUGGGACUCUGCAGGGACCGAGCUGUUGGUGCUCCAGCAUUCAGGGAGCUCCUGCCUUGGGGUGGACAGACAGCAGGCGCUCUGCCUCCAGCAAGAGGUGGCUCUGGGGGACAGCUCUCCAUGGGGGACAGCUCUCCAUGGGCUUGGACACCCGUGCUCCCAGACAACAGCUUCUGCCGUGCUCCCAGAUGAGAGCCAGAGCCCUGCCUAUCGGGAGGCCACACUCAUGCCCAAGACUUCUAGGCCUCAGCAGUGCUCCCAAGGGUGUGGCACCAGGUGAAGCAGGGCAGGUGGAAUGCAGGAGCAGGCAGGAAAACCCAGCUCUUCCAAGUCAGACACUGGAGAGCUCUGCAGACACGAAGACAAUGCCAUGCCUCCCCCUAAAUGCUUUUUGUUUUGGAAAAUAUAGCUGUUCGUCAUAAGGUAUUUACGUUGACGUAUGACAGGUUUAUGAUUGUUUUAAUGAAUUAAUAGGUAUUUUAAAUGCUCUUAGUUUCGAUUUCUAGUGUUUCUCAUUGGUGAUUUCUAACGUGGCAUCGUGGCUGCAUUCAACCCCCAUAAACGCAUGCUCCGUGGUGGCCUCCAUAGCUCUUCAGACCCAAUGUGUGAGUCCCGGGCUCCAGAUCGUGUCUCAGCCCCUCCCUGCUCCCUCAGCCAAUAGCCUGUGUCCGUGUGGCCCCUCCCCCGAGCUUCCCAGUGACGGAGGAAGGCAGACGCCGCGUGCUUUCCAGGCGCUGUCCUAAGCCCUUUGCAGAUAUGGAGCCACUUGACCCUCCUAUAACGCGUGCAGUGGGUCCUAUUACCCCCCCAUUUACGGACCAAGGGCAGGGAGGUGGAGACACUGGCUGGAGGCCGCGCAGCAGGGAAGUGGCAGUCAGGAGGCAGCCCAGGCCCUCCCAUCCGACUUCAGAGGCCAGACGCACGCCUUCUAGACGCUGACUCACAAGCCAAGUCACUCCUUCCUGACACUCACGCCACCAUGUCCUCCCCAAAGUGCAUUUGCAUUUUAACAGCCAUCUUCCGUGAGCUGACUCUGUGGUUUUCAGUCAGUGGUUUCCAGUCGGCUAUUUGUCAUAAGGUAUUUACGCUGACGUAUAACAGGAUUAUGAGUGUUUUAAUGAAUUAAUAGGUAUUUUAAAUGCUAUUUAAAUGUACUACCUCAAAAGGCUGAGAAAUGUGGGGCCUCUGUGUGGAUGUGUCAGUGUGUGUGUCUCUGUGUGUGUCAGCGUGUGUGUCUGUAUCAGUGUGUGUGUCUGUGUGAGAGUGCGAGAGUGUGUGUCCGUGAGAGUGUGUCAGUGUACGUGAGUCUGUGUGUCGUGAGUGUGUCUGUGUGUGCCCGCGUGUCAGUGUGUCUGUGUGUGUCAGUGUGUGUGAGUGGUCGAGAGUGUGUCCGUAUGUGAAUGUGUCAGUGUUUGUGUGUGUGUGUCAGUGUGACAGAGUGUGUGUGUUUGUGCCUGUGUGUCAGUGUGUCUGUGUGUGUCAUUGUGUGUUUCUGUGUGUGAGAAAGUGUGUGUCCGUGUGUGUUAGUGUCUGUGUGUGUGUGUGUGAGUGUGUGUGUGCACGCAUACACACGCAUAUAACUCUGCUGUGGCUUCUAUAACAAAGUACCGUGGACCGAGCAGCUUGAACAACAGAAACUCCCUUCCCCGCAGUCCUGAGGUCCGGAAAUCUGAGAUCACGGCGUGGGCAGGGCUGGUUCCUCCUCAGGCCCCUCCGUGGCCUGCAGACGCCAUCCUCUCCCUGUGUCCUCACGUGGUCAUCCCUCUGUCAGCGUCUGCUUCCCAACUUUUUCUUCUUAGUCCGUUCUCACCUGGCUAUAAAGAAGUCCCUGAGGCUGGGUAAUUUAUGAAGAAAAGCGCUUUAAUUGGCUCAGGGAUCUGCAGGCUGUACGGGAAGCGUGACGUCAUCUGUCUCUGGGGUGGCCUCAGGAAACGUCCAGUCAUGGCGGAAGAAGAAGGGGAAGCCAGCUCAUCACAGGGGGAAGCAGGAGUGAGAAAGAGGAGGGGGGAUGUGUCACACACUUUUAAAAGACCAGGACUCCUGUGAACCCAGGGCUCGAGCUCACUUAUCACCAAGAGGCUAGCCCAGCCAUUCAUGAGGGAUCCACCCCCAUGAUCCAAACACCUCCCUCCAAUCCCCACCUCCAACACUGAGGAUCACAUUUCCACAUGAGAUCUGGGCAGGGACAAAUACCCAAACUGCAUCCUAAAGACACCGGUCAGAUUAGAUUAGGGCCCACUCCAAAGCCCUCAUCUUAGUUUAGUUACCUCUUGAAAGACCCUGUUUCCAAAUACAGCCACAUUCUGAGGUCCUGGGGGUUAAGACUUCAACAUAUGGAUUUGGGGGAUACAACAAACGCCAUUUGGGGGUCACAGUGACUGAGGGUGCUCCUGGAUUUUGUUGGGGUGAUGGUUGAGCAAGGUUGCUAUUCACCCUUCAGUAGGUAGGACACCCCCCCAAGGGAUAUCUACCCAGCAAAACGCCAACAGUGUGCUCUCUCAGGAAGACUUCCUGAAAACAAAGAGCCAGGUAGAAUCUCAGCACACGGCAGGUCGCUGGUUGAUGUUUUCAAGAAGCAGCUUUGGGGGUUUCCUCAAAUCCAUCCAAUGAGAUUCCAUCUCUUUUAUCUGAGCAUCUAGGAUGUUCAAGGAGAAACGGCUCCGCUUUUUCCUGCUUCUCCAGGAAUCCAGCUUAGUGGGUUUACCUGCCUCUGUCCAAGGUGCUCCGUUGUGAGUAGCCCCUGCCUCUGGGUGUGCAGGUGAUUUGGGGACUGAGAGCUGAGGCGCUAAAGUUAAAAUGGCUUAACGUGUGUGACUGUGUGUGAAUGUGUGUGUGUACGCGUGUGUGCGUGCGUGUGUGUGUCUGUGUGUGGGAAUGGGUGUGAGUGUGUAUGAGUGUGUGUGGGAAUGGGUGUGUGUGGGAGUGCAUGUGUGUGGGAAUGUGUGGGGGAAUGGGUGUGUGUGGGAAUGGGUGUGCGUACGUGUGUGUGUGGAAAUCGGUGUGUGUGUCUUGUGUGGGAAUGGGUGUGUGUGUGGGAAUGGGUGUGUGUGUUACAGUGUGUGAGUGUGUGUGUGUGGGAAUGGGUGUGAGUGUGUGGGAAUGUGAGUGUGUGUGUGGGAAUGGGUGUGAGACUGUAUGAGUGUGUGUGGGAAUGUGUGUGUGGGAAUGUGAG